CAUACAUUAUACAAGAGUAUUUUGUAAUACAAUCUAAAUAAAUGUUGCGAUAUGUAAUUUUUUUAUAUGAAUUUGGAAAUGGAAAUUUAGUUCAACGCCAAUUGCAAUUGUGAUAAAUUAAUUUAAGAUCAUUUAAAGUUCAGUCAAGCAAGCACCUGAAAAUGGUCAACUUUUUGUUUAAUAUAGAUUGCUGUUCCAAAUACAAGUUGCAGAUAUGAUCCAAUACUUUAUGUCAAGCAAGGUUCAGAUUUUAAACCAAACAAACUUACUAUCUGUUGAUCUUCUGCUUUGUUUUGAAGUUAUGAGUUCAGAUAGAUAUAUGUUUUGUUCAAAGCAGAUCAGCCAACCAUAUAAAGGACAGAUAAAACUGACCCUCAUCUCAGGCUUAAUUCUCAGUUCUUUUUUGAAGUAUGCAACCCUGAUGUCUUGAUGGGCACAAUCACAUGGAAGUAAUGUAAUAUUAAAUUAAAUAUUAAAGUAUAAAAUUUGCAUUUA
rnacentral:lncRNA from 1 species